GACGAACCGUGCGAACGUUAUUCGGAAUCACUGGGCUUAAAGCGCGUGUAGGCGGGCGGGUACGUCGGCGACUGAAAGCCCCCGGCUCAACCGGGGAAGGGGUGCCGAAACGGCCGGCCUGGAGGGGCGUAGGGGGACCUGGAACUUCCGGUGGAGCGGUGAAAUGCGUUGAGAUCGGAAGGAACGCCCGUGGCGAAAGCGAGGUCCUGGACGCCAACUGACGCUGAGGCGCGAAAGCCAGGGGAGCGAACGGG
rnacentral:rRNA from 1 species